CAGUUUACAUGAAUGUUACACCCCAACUCACAGAUGGUAAACCAAAAAUGUCACAAAUCUAAAUGUGUGUACUUACACCUAGCCUCCUGACCACCCCAUCUGUUCAGUACAGCACGAGGUGUGGUAUGAGCAGUUCUCUAGUGAUCCUGGCUGACAGGAGUGCUCAGAUCACUGUUGAAGGUUGUCCCAUACAAGAGGACCAUGCUGUGCAUGCUAGCAAAGGAAGAGGUCAGAAUUUAAAUGCUGAGCUGCAGAGUAUACACUGUCCAAUGUAUAGCGUGAGGAUACAAAGGAAGCCCAGCUGGCACGAGUGUGUAAAUGUGUCUACUCCAGGGUGGAACAUGUCUAUGGUCGAGAUGCCAACCCUGUUUACUGGUUAACCAAAAACUAUGAUGGAUGCAGAUAAGAGAAGAUGAAACUGUGGCACAUGGGGGAAGGUGGCGAGGAGAGCUAGGUUUCUAGACCCGAGCACAGUCAUCAUUAACAUUGUUGCUUUGUUAUAAAACUUACAUGAACUCACACCAUAAGAUCAAGCCAGUUAAUGAAUAGAGGGGGAGGGACUCAUGAGACCUCACUCUCAGCUGAGGAGAAUCACAAUUGAUGGUUGCUGGCAGAAGUCACUGUUCUUCAGUGAUGUAGACAAUAAGAAGCUCACACCCCCUGUUCAUACAAGCAAGCCUAAUCAAACUCUGUAGACCAUAGAGAAUCACACACACACACACACACACACACACACAGAGAGAGAGAGAGAGAGAGAGAGACAGACAGAGAGAGACAGAGACAGACAGAGACAGACAGAGACAGACAGACAGAAAGAGAGAGAAAGAGGCAGAGGCAGAGGCAGAGGCAGAGGCAGACAUACAGGUAGACAGAGGGAGAGGCACAGAGAGAUGAGGGGGAGGGAGACGGAGAGAGACCACAUGGAAGUAGGAGGUAACUUCUUCCUCAAACGAAGGAAUUCAGAGAGAGCAGACAUGGGGAAGGGAGGAGAGUAAUGCCAGUGAAUAUGAAACAAAUGCAUUAUUUGUAUGAAUGAAAUUAUCAAGGAAUCCAUUUAAAAUGUUUUAUGAACAGAGAUGGCUCAGUGAGUAGAAGCACUUGCUGCAAAGCCUGAUGAGGUAAGUUUGAUCUCCAGAACAUACACAGGUAGAAGGUGAGAAUGGACUUCCAGCAUUAUCCCCUGACCUCCCCUCCACAUCAGAGAGAGACAGAGACAUAGAGACAGAGGGAGACGUGAUAACCCCUGUUCCUACUGCAUCUCUUUCAGAGUGUCCCUGCAGGAUUGCUCACAUCCUGCAGCCCACUGGUCUCAAAAGCACAUUUAAAAUUACUUAGAAGCAUGGACUUUUCUAGCUCUUAGAGCUCCUCCUAAACAUCUUACCGAUGAAUCACCCCCUUCCAUCCUCACCAGCAGACCUUCACCUACAUUGUUUCUUGUCGAGUCACAGUGGCUGGAUGAUGGGACAAGUCCCAGCAUCGCAUCCAAAUUGCAGCCAAUGAUAAAAAAAAAUAGACAGAUACAUUUGUAGGGCAUCAGCACCUAGAGGCCUUGAUGUAGACUGUGAGGUUGUUCUUGAAGCAUGGAUAAGCAUGUAUCAAUGUAUCUCCAUCAAGAGUUAUCUUAGUCAAGAGUUAUCCUGGGUGUGUCUGUCUCUUAAUAUUGUCACAUGUAGUUGAAGAUAAGUAUUAAACUUGUUCAUAUAAAUUUAAGGCUACUUUGUACAUGGAUAAACCCCACUCCUUCAUCUAACAAUGCUGGCAGCUGUACUUUACAACAGCAGCUUCUGGUCCAAUUCACGAUUCCAUGACUCCUGCCAUCUAAGCACUUUUGGGUUGUUCCCCACCCCAGUCAAUUCCCAUCCUGUAUCUCACACUUCAUAUUCCAUUAUUUUGUCUCUUAAGUUGAGGAUGCUUCAUUUAGGGUAAGGACACGGCAUAGCUGGCAAGAGCACUUGCUUAUAAGAAUGAUGAGGAGUUCAAAUCCCCAGCUCACAGUUAGCACUGGGCCCUCUGAUCCAGGUUCAGGGAAAGACCUUGUCUUAAGGAAAUAAGGCUGACAGAGAUAGAGCAGGAUAGUAGUCACAUAAGUACACACUACAGACAUUUGUACAAACAUCCACAUGUGUGUGUGUGUGUGUGUGUGUGUGUGUGUGAGAGAGAGAGAGAGAGAGAGAGAGAGAGAGAGAGGAAAGAGAGGGAGGGAGGGAGACAGAGAGACAGAGAGAGACAGGGAGGAAGGGAGGGAGGAAGAGAGAGAGAGAGAGACAGAGAGAGACAGAGACAGAGAGACAGAGAGAGACUCCCUCUAUUUCUAGACUAAGUGGUCAGCUCCCUCUUGAGUUGCUUCUGUCAGGGAUUUUUUUUUUUCAGCAUCAGGGCAAGAAACGGAGACGAAUAUCUAGAGAUCUAGUGUCUGUCAAGUGCUCUCUGCAGAGUGAGCAUCUCCUGAAGGCUCCACUUCAUUGGAGGUUGCUACACAAUGAUGUUUCCAACUCAACAAUUAUUACUACACCAACAGUGGACAGAGAAUUAAAACCAUAGGAUGCAGGAGCUACACACCAUCCAUACAAUAGUGCGUGCAUGUUUAAAGGGAACGGUGACGUUAUAACCCAUUCACUUGUCCUUGAAGUCUUCACUUAGCCUUAGUAAUGAACACAGAGGCCUGGCACUCCCAGGGAUUUCCUCACACCCCCACCCCUACCUUUCAGUGCUAAUUUCUGACCCAUCCCUGAUUUGCUCGAGUAUUCCCAUCACUGUAACUAUAGACUACUUUACAUUUUAGGAAUUAAAUAGUGCAACAUGUGCUUUUUGUUUGUUUGUUUGUUUUUUUCCUGCAGAAAAAUGUAUCCAAGCAUAACUGUUUUGAGCCCCACUCCCCAUUUUGUCAUAGCAGUGCCUUGUCCUCCAUUUUGCUGAGUGUUUUUCCACUGAAUGGAUGUAACAUCAUUUGCUUAUACAUUCACCUUUUGAUAACCACUUAGGUUGGGGUUAUUAUAACCACUUCUAGUUUGGGGUUAUUAUAGAAAUAGUUACUGUCAACAUUCCUGUAUAGGGUUUUUAACGUAAACCUAAGUUUUUCCUUCUCUUUGGUACAGGAGUGGGCCUCCUAGGCCAUAUGACUCGCUUACAUUAAACUCUGUGUGAUAUUCCCAAGUGCUUUUUUGCCACAUAGCCAUGGUGUUCUGUGUUGCCACCAGCAGAGCAGGAGUCCCAGGAGCUCAGCAUCCUCCUUGGUUCUCAAUGCUGACAGUUGUUUUCUCAUCUUUAGUUGGGUGAGUAUGUUGAGGAAUAUGUGUGGGCCACGACAUGAACGUAGAAUGCAGGGGACAACCUUGGGUGUUAGUCCUCUCUGUCUGUCUUUAGUACUCUUUAUUGUCCUCUGCUGUGCAUGCCAAGCUAGCUGCCCUCAAGCUCCCAGGGAUUCUCCUGUUUCGGCCUCCCAUCUCACCUUAGAGGUGCUCUGAUUAUAGACUCAAGCUACUGUGUAAGGCUUUUCUUGGGUGCUAGGGAAUCCAAAUUGGGUUCUCACACUUGUAGGGCAAAUGCUUUAGCCACAGAGCUAGCUCCUCUCCUGACAGUGAUUUUCCUUAAUUUAGCUAUUUUAAAAGAAUGCUAGUAGCAGAUAAAUGUGGUUUUUAUUUGCAUUUUUUUCUGAUAACUAAUGAUGUUGAACACCUCAAAAAAAAAUCUUAUAUGGCAUCUGUGGGUUUUCUCUGAUGACCUGAUUCAGAGGAUUUGCCUACUUUCAAAAAGUUGUUAGUUUUAUUACUAAGUUUUGAGCAUUCUUCAAAAGGAUGAAAACUUUUAUUCCCCUGUGGAGUAGAGAAAAAAGGGAACUUGCAGACAGACUUUAAGUCAUUUACUGCCAAAGCAAAUCGUGUGCCAGGAAAGUGAGGAUUUGAAAUAGACCCAGGCUUUUGUUGCAGAGACGGAUGAGAUUCUUGCCAAUUCCGUGUUUGUGUGAGGCACAGCCAGGCUGUGGGCAGGUACCCAGCCUGCCUUUCAGCUUGGAUACCUAGUCCCGGCUGAAGAUUCCCACACUGUGUCCCUCGGCCUGCUGGCCAACUCUCUCCUGUUGAGGAAAAUCCCAAAGACUAUGGAAUGAGGCAGGCCCUUGCUUUUUCACACAUGAAUGAACUAAUGUUGUGUGCUGUGCCAAGCCCUCAUGUUGAUGCUCAUGAAAUCAGAGAAUCCUGUAUAGACUCCUCCCUGGCAUCCUGCCCAUAUUAGAAGCAUAGUUGUUCUGAUAUGGCUUCACAACUCCUGACUUGCUGGUAGUGACUGUCCCCUUCAUCAUUGUGACAGUAUCAUAGGUGAUAAACACCAAGGUGCCAACCACUAAUCUGUAAAUUUCCUUUUCCAUUCUCUCUAUAAUUAACUUGGGUUAAAAUUUAAUCACAUUCAUAAGGCAAUGCAUCCAAUAUGGAUUGUUUCCUGUAUUCCUCCAAAAGGAGACAGUUUCUAAUAAAUAGAAAUGUGACGUCCUGACAGUCCCCCACACAAUAUCACAUUGUCUUUUACAGGUGAUUCCACAUCUCUGUACAUUAUCUAGAAGCAAGAAACAGGGAGAACUUUAUUUAUUUGUUUUUUGAGACAGGGCCUCUUUAUAUAGUCCUGGCUGGCCUGAAACUCACUAUGUAAACCAGGCUGGUCUCACAUUCAUAGAGACCAUCAGCCUCUACCUCUUGAGUGCUAGGAUUAAAGGCAUGAGCCACCACAGCACGCUAAUUUUUAUAUUAAUUUUUGUUUAUUCUUGAGAAUCUUAUAACGGAUACAAUGAAACAUAACCACACCCACCUUCCAUUUAUUUCUCUUUCUAACUCUCCUAAUCCGCCCCCCUCACACACACACACAACACAGCUCAAAUCUCAAGGUCAAAAUAACCAAUCAAGUCUAGGACUUUAUUUUAUUCCUUGUAAUAGAAUGUGGGAAUAUAACUAAAACUUUAAAAGAUGGGUAUAUAAAACAAAACAAAUAUUUCUAACGACAUCAUAUUAUGGAAUGUACAGUUCCAGAAAACCAGCAUCGCUUCCCUUCACUGACACAGUGCUAUGAAUCUACUUAAUCUGCUCUGAUGCUUUUUAACAAGGCCUCCAGGAAGCUGAGAAGACACUCUCCUCUAAAGUGGGAGUGAGCUGAUUCCCAUGCUUGCUGUCUCUAGGACCCAUGCCCAUCACCACCGUACUGACUCCAUUAAGUACCCAUCCCUGGUCUCCAUACACUGUGUAUGUCCUGUGACCAAAACCCUCACAGAAUCAACAAAAAGCAAUCCAGGAGUCAUUGGUAAUACAGUUGGUUUCGGUUUUGGUUUGGUUUUAAAGAGGCAGGUUUACAGCAUAACAUAUUUCUGAUUCUAAGUUCUGUUUCUUUAAGAAAUGGAAUUCCUUUAAACCUUUAUCUUCCCAGUGAAGAGUCCACAAAGGACUAAUCAUACAAUGGAACCAUUUAAAUGCCUCACUCUGCAGUGUGGUCUCUUUGAGCACAAUUGUUUGGAUAAAUUCUCCUCUUGCCCAUUAUCUGAACACAACGUGUGGUGGCCAGUUGCAUUUUGCGGUAACAAUGUACCGGCAUUGGCUAGCACUCCAUUUUCAGCUGCCAAUACAGGCACUGGAGAAGUAUUCAGACCUGGAGACAAACGACAGCUGAAAACAGAGAGCCGGCCUGCAGGUGGGUUUCAGGGGAUGUCUUAUCUGCUCAGAGUCAUUGUGUUCCAAUCUGCAUGUCUUCCAGAAGACUAAAAGUAAGGGUCCCAGGAGGUGGGAGAAGGUUACCGCUGUAAAACUGUGUCUCAGCAGCUAGAAGCUGAAUUAUCCUUGGAUUCUAGGAAGGUAACAUGAAACAACUCUCUUCUGUUGGUGAGCUCCGCUAGGUGUAUAGAGAUGGAUGUGAUGGCUCAGUGUAGUUUGUUUAAAAACACAGCAUGAGCUGGGCAUUGCACUGCACACUUGUAAAGGCUGCUUUUGUGUGUCAACUUGACACAAGCUGGAGUUAUCACAGAGAAAGGAGCCUCCCUUGAGGAAAUGCCUCCAUGAAAUCCAGCUGUAAGCCAUUUUCUCAAUUAGUGAUCAAGGGUAAGAGGGCCCAUUGUGUGUGGUGCCAUCCCUGGGCUGGUAGUCCUGGGUUCUAUAAGAAAGCAAGCUGAGUAAGGCAGGGGAACCAAGCCAGUAAGUAACAUCCCUCCAUGGUCUCUGCAUCAGUUCCUGCCUCCAGGUUCCUGCCCUAUGUGAGUUUCUGUCCUGGCUUCCUUUGGUGAGGAACAGCAAUGUGGAAGUGUAAGCUGAAUAAACCCUUUCCUCUACAACUUGUUUCUUGGUCAUGAUGUUUUGUGCAGGAAUACAAACCCUAACUAAGACACCUGAAAUAUCAGCACUUGGAAGGGGGAAGCAAGAGGAUUGACCGUUUGAGGCCAGCCAGAACUACAGAGUUCUGUCAAAAUUAAAACAAUGAAAGGGAGGAAAAGGGGAAGGAGAAAGAAGAGAAAAGGAAACUGCCAUGUAGUCUUUCUUACAAGGAAUACUGGGUCCCCACACUGUAUUAGUAUCCCGUGGUGGCAAAGAAGCACCUGAGAUGUUCUCACUUCUGAGACCUGCAUUACUGUCUUUUUCUUUUUCAUGCAGAACUUGGUAGAGCACCUGCUUAACCUAGUAAUGAUAGUUUACUGAGAAUUUAACUACAUAUCAGGCCCUUCUCUAAAGGAUAAGGGGGGGAGGAGAUAGAUAGGUGAUAGAUUUGAUAGAUAUAGAUAGAUAGAUAGAUAGAUAGAUAGAUAGAUAGAUAGACAGACAGGCAGGCUAGAGUAAUGAUUCAGUUGGUAAAAUGCUUGCCUUGCAAGCUGGAGAACCUAAAUUUGACAACCCCUAAAACCCAUGUACAAAUGCCAGCCAUGCUAGCUUGUGCUUGAAAUCCCAGCUUUAGGACAGCAGAGACAUGAAGGCCCCUGGGGCUCACUGGCCAGUUAGUCUAACCUAAUUGAUGAGCUCCAGGCCAAUAAGAGACCCUGUCUCAAUGGGUAGUGUGCUUGAAGCUAAUACCCAACGUUGUCUUCUGACCUACACACACCUACACACAUGAACAUGCAUGCACCUUCGACAAACACAGAAAGAACUAGAGUAAGGAAGGCAACCAACAGUGCUGUGAGCAUGUGGAUUGAGUGACUAGCAUACUUUAUGGAGGAGAGGGUGGGGCAUCACAGGAAGCCAAGACUUACAAGUGGAUAAUGGCCAGACCCAGGAGUAAAUUCUCUCCAUAUCUCCUCUACUCAUUUUAGAAGUCGUGUUUUCAGCAAUACACAUUGCACUCAAAUAUCCUAAGAGUCAAUAAAAGUGACUUCAUGAAAUGUGAAUGAAGUGCCUCAUUUUGUUUGAAAAUGAAUAAAUGAAUUGCUCAUUGCAGUUCACAGGCAUGCUGUCUUCUCCAUGAGGCCAUGGAGUCUUUUAACACGAUGCUGCCGGUUCACCCUCGAAGCUAUUCAUUUGCUUGUUUAAUGCAUCCAGUGUUUAUUACAUGGCACUAAGGCUUUGAAGAGACUCCUACUCCAGCAGGAAAGAGCCACUGCAGUGUAGUAAAUGCCAUAAAGAAAGCCUGCCAGAGGAAUGGGGUAGACGAGGGAUGUGGGGUGUAGAGGUGGUUCCUGGAGGAGGGAAGACCAAUCAAUACUUGAAGCACUGAACAAGUCCAAGUCCAUGCUUCUGAAUGAAUAGAUGAGGAAUGCCUGGCCCUUUGGUCUUAGUAGGAACACUGCACUGAAUAGGCCACACUAUUAUACUCUUCUUCCUUGUUUGCGAGAUAAGGCAGGCAUACUAGGAGGCCCCACAGGACUCAGUCUAGGUCCCCUAGCAGGUGUUAGGGACUUUCAGGAUGCAACCCUGAUCCUCAGAGCCCAGUGUCCAUUUCUAUUGGUCUCUGUUGCUAUGCAGAGCUGUGGCCAUGAGCACAGGUCAGGUUGAACACUGAGCCCUUCCGUAAUUCUCAGGAAUGACUGAACUAGCUUCAUCCCUGGAAAAGUGCAGCCUGCAGCCCGAGUCACACUCUGCUCACGGGCCAGUGCCCUGAUGGAAGGACAAGCGAGAAAAAAGCAAAAUCUAGUCAUGUCUACACUGCCUAGUUGUCUCUCUCCAAAUUAACUCUGUCCGUGAGCUGCUGGCAGGGUGUGCUUCCCAUCGUUUAGGACAGCCAUCCAGAAACAUAAUUACGUGAUUAAGUGCUGUGUCCUCCCAGGAAGUGUCAGGAGCCAUGAUUACCCUACCAGGGAGGGGGUGGGGUAAACAAUACGCAAUCAGGCUGUGGACAAGGUUUCCCACUGCAGCCCAGGACCAUGCUGGUAUUCAUCAAAGGUGGAAGAGACAUGCUUCAUAUUUCAUAUUAAGAAAGACAACAAACUAUAAUCAGGAAUAUAAUCAAGGAUGGAAUAAAAUGCUGAUUGCCCUUAAUGACCUUAUUAUUCUAUCACUGAAUGUGUUAUAAAAAAAGAACUGGGCCAUGUAUUUCCAUGGUUCUCUGAGUGGUAUACAUGUAUGACGUAUGUACGGUUGACUGUGGUAGUCUGGGAUACAAGUCGCUCACUUCUGUCUGUACAUAAUGAGAACAAAUGGAAAGGCUAGGGAAUAGAGAGAGUGUGAAGUCAGGGAAACUGUCUAUGAUCCACUAAGAAAACAGCAGAGUAUUAGCAAAUAAAUGAAGGGGGGAGAAAGCCAAGUGUACAAGCCAGUGUCAGACCAAUACAAGUGAGCAAGACAUACAAGAUAAUACUUCAGUAGUUUGGAAAUAAAAAGCCUCCUUUGAAGGACUGAAAACCACAUCUCUAGAGCCACUCUGGUCUUCUUCUGGUAGGAAGAUCUAUAGAUCAAAAACGCACAGAGAAAGACACUCCAGAUCACAGCAGUCGAGAGUUGUAAAGCAAAACAAGGAGACACUACUAUGUGUCUAACAACAAGCCAAAAUCCAGAACAUAACAAGGAGUCACUCAGUGGUCACAAAAGUCGUGGGGCUGGACAUAAAUAGAGAUACAGGACAUUCUACAACAGGGGCACUAUGUGUUAUGGCAUUUCAAUGGUAAAUAAUUCUCUUAUAUGCUGGUCAAAGCUCAUAGAUUGCAGACACCCACCACACACACAUAUACACAAGAGUGUCCCUGAUGUAAACCAGGGACAGUAACUAAUAGUAACAUACUGGUGUUAUUCCAUCAGUGAAAACAAGUUUCCACAACAGUGCCAAGUGUUAGCAGGGAAUAAGUGUGCAAGUGUCGGGAGGGGUUGGGUAUCAUGGGAAAUCUAUUCAACCACUUUGUGCUUCAUUUCCCUGCAAACCCAUGUGUGCUCUGAAAACUUGUUAGUUAAAGUAUGGACACCUUCUUGAAGGCAGAAACUGGCCCCUCCAUGUCACCACAAUACCUGAUGAAUACACGGCUAAUCUUUAAAAGCAUCUGUACCUGUCCUAAAUGGACAUUAAGGAUGCUGAGUGGGCAGUAAUUUAGAGACAUGCCCUUUCAGAGCCACCAUUCAUAGCUCAGGCACAGUGGGGACAUACUUUGACUUGACAAGUGCGAUUCUUCAUCCGAAGGAGCUUUUACUCUGUGGUAACUGGUCCAAAUCACAGAGUGAACCUUCUGUAUCCCAAGCCUGCCUGCACACAACUCUCAGCCCUGCCAUGUCUUUGGAAGGAGCUUACACUAUGGCACAACCAUUUGUCACUGUCAUUUAUUUUCAGUCCACACUGGGAGAUGAACCUCAUACCUCAUCUGUAUGCGCCCCUUUGGCAUGUGGUACAGACUCAAAGCAGGCAGGGCCCCCAGACCUGGAGCUUCUCUUUAUCAAAAGGCACGUGCCCAACCAAGGCCAAAAAAAAAAAAAAAAAAAAAAAAAAAAGGAGCAGUGACCAGGGAGGGCUCACAGCAGGGAUUGAGGCAGGCAGAGCAAAAGCUGACAGAGCAUUGAGUGCUGCAAUCUUGAAUCCCUUCAUCUUUCCCAGUAUGAAACCCUAUGUCCCACAAAGGUUGCACUAGGCUCAUGGGAUCCCUGGCAGCAGACAGAUGAGUACCACUGCUGUCCUCUCGAGGUAGGAGAUAUCCCACCACAGGUCAUUCAGGCCAAGCACUAGGAGCCAUCGCAGGCAAGCCUGGCCUCUUCUAUAUUUCUCUUAAGUCACCAGGAAGUCCUUGCCCCUUCUUGCUCAUGACUCAGAUCCCUAGACUCUUCUCAAGCUAUUUUCUGUUUGUCUUUCUUUGUUUGGUUGGUUCCAUACUUAGGAAGUAUCACUGAAGGCCUGGGCUUUAAAAGUAUGUGUACAAGUUACCACCCUGUCUUCCCAACUGGACCCUUGGGCACUGCCCUGUUGAAUGCAUGUGGGUAUUAACAGAUGCCCAAUACACAGUAGAGAGGGGCCUAGGGCAUGUGAGGCCCUGUGCUAGGUGUUAUGGGAGAGAUGAAAGGACAUGGCACAACCCCAGGGAAAUGACAGCCAAUGGGAGGACCCUUUACUGGUAACUACUCCUGCUUCCCAACCCGCCCAGUCAAGCAGUCAAUGUGUUUGGCUGUUUUGGUUUUUGUGGGAGAGGGAGAAACACUUUUAACCAACCAUGGAGUUCUUUUCACAGUACCCACUUGUACUUUCUCAGUCUCUUUAAGAGAAAUACAGAAAGAUGCUAAGUAAAGACCCUGCAGUAGAUGGGAGGGUACCAAUUCUAGCCUAUCACUUGUUGAUCACGUAGUCUAGAUGGACACUGUCCUGCAUUCAUGUUCCUGGUGACCACACUAGCUAGUGUUCGUCCUUCACCUACCGAGCUGUUGUAAGAACUGAAGAAGCUGCUGGGGUGGGGUGACUUGCAGUGAGGCCUGGCUCGUGGGAAACACCAAAUGAAGUCAUCAUUCUCUUUUCAAGUUCAUGUGCAAAAGCCACCUGAAUGAGCUGGUAACAUCUCAUGGCUCUGCUGUACUGCAUGUGCAGCUGGAGGAACAAGAUGAUGUCUUAGGUUUGAGAGAUUAUUUCUAGACCAAGUGAGUCACCUUCCCAAUGGGACUCUAUCUCUCAUCAGUCUUGAGAAACCAGUCAGAGGGAGGAGGCACAGCUGCCUUUCUCCCACAUUGUAUCCAGGCUUUGGAAACUGUUUAUAAAGUUUCUAUAAAUAUAGGAUGAGACUAUACAACAGAGAGAUUAACUCUAGAUAUCUGGGAUGAAGGAAGGAGUUCCAUAGGCCUGCCCUAUGGAAGAAACAGAGUUCCCAUGGGAUAAUAUUUUUGGCUCAUAUCAGGACCUUGGGGGCUUAUCCAUCAGAAGCUUUAAAAAUCAAAUUAGGUAAUAAAAGUAUGUUGCUACAUUGUAGGCAACAGAAAUGAAGAUAGCAUGUUCAUAUGGCCAGUGAUAUCAUAUGAUGGAUAAAUAAGCCACAGAAAAUGAAAUAGUAUUCACCACUGAAAAGGGGGUGUUAACUGAAAAUUCAUGGAGGAUGUCAUAGUUUAUUCCUCUGUUGCUAUGACCAAAAACACUGACCAAAAACAACUUGGGAGAAGAAAGCAUUUAUUUUAUCUUACUUUCAGGUAACCAUCUAUCACUGAAGGAAGUUGGGAAGGAACCUGGAGGCAGGGAACUAAAAACAGAGACCAGGGAGAAGCAGUGUCCACUGGCUUGUUCCCCAUAGCUUGUUCAGAUCACCUUCUUAUAUGGUCCAGGCCCAACUGCCCAGGGAUGGUGUCACCCACAGUGAGCUGGGUGCUCCUCCAUCAUUAACCAAGGAUGAAAAUCCUGGCAGCACCAAGGAGCUCCCAGUGCCUAUCCUUAAGUAAAAGAAGCCAGUCUGAAAAGGCUGUGUGCUGCGUGCUGGUGCUUCCAUCUUUAGAAUAAUCUGGAAAAGGCGAGCCCAUGGAGAUAGGAGCAAGUGUGGUUUGGUGGUUGUCAAGGAGGAGGGGAGGGAGCUAAGCAGACAAAGCCCAGGUUUUCAGGGCUCUGAAACCAUCCAGUGCCAUGCCGCCAUGGUGGGAUAAGCUGUUACACAUUUAUCUAACCUACAAAAUGUGUGGCUUGGAGACGAAGCUUAAAGUAGCCUGUCUGGGCAGACGUAUCCAUGGCAACGCGUGCAGCCUUCUGGAGCAGGAUGUGGAAAAUGGGGUGCUUGUAGGUGUGUGAAGGCAGAGAGCACACAGGAAGCCUCUAUACUUCCUGUUCAAUUUUGCUAUGAACCUUCAACUGUUUGAAAAACAAAAGUUUAUUAAUUAAAAAAAAAUUGGAAGAUAAACCCCCAAUUCUUCUGGAUCUUCCUGCACUCCACUCCACCAACUUAAGCUUCCAGUAUGUGGCUUUGUCCAUUUAAAAACCUGUCUCAGUGGGAACAAGUACCUGUCCCUGAAACAUUUCAAACUAUCAAAUUGAGCCAGAGUGAGACAGGUUGGGGUGGUGGUGGUGGUGGUUGUCUUUCCUUGUACACAAAAGAUCCUCAGCUUCAGGCACUUCUGUCAAUCCUCCCAGGGCAAGGCAGGUCCACAGAGGACAUCACUGUAUCACAGUGGUUGGCAGCUCUCUACCUCCAGGAUGAUCAGUGAGCACAGCUUCAAAGGAAAUAGGCUCACAUAUGGGGCCAGUGAAGAUCAGACCACUUGUGUGACAGACCUGGAAAUCACGCAAACAGGGCUGCUCAUGGGCAACCCUCUCAGUGUGCUGCGAUGUUUGCUCUCUGCCUGCCUCCUGUUUGAAAGCACUGAAUAUGGGGUUCUGGUGAGUACUGCUGUGCAGAAGGCCUUCUGGCCCCCAGCAUUUCAGCCCAGAGUAUGGUGGUAUCUGGCCCUGCGCUAACUGACAGAACCCUCAGAAAGCAACUGAAAACAGGAUAACAAGGAUGGUGGAAGAAAGACCCAUCUUCCAGCUGGUGCAUCUUGGACAGAGUUUCGUAGUUGGCUAACAAGUAAAAUGAUCAUCUAUAGGAAAGAUUCUGAUAUUUCCUCUAACUUUAAAAACUCACCCGGGGGAUGAAAAAUGAGAGGGCACUCAAUUGGUAAAGAGCUGCGCACAAACGCCUGAGGCCAUGAGUUCAAGCCACAGAACCCAUGUGAACAGGCUGGCCAUGGUGGCACAUACUCGUGAUCCCAGCAUUCAGAGACACAGGAAAGAGAGAUCCACUGGGCUUGAUGACCGUUAACCACAUUGACAAGAGAGACUGUCUCAAGUGAGGUAAAUGGUGCCUAAUGACACCCAAGGCUGUCUCCUCUGGCCUCCGCGUACAUGCAGAAACAUGCUUGGGUACACACAGGUACACACAAUGUUUAAGAAACAGUAGAGACGAGCCGACUAACCAAAGAAAAAUAACAUUCCCAUUUCUAUGAAUCAGGGUCAUCUAAGUGGCUCCAGAGCCCUGGCUACGUUCGUCAGGCAGUUUUCAAAACUCUAGUUUACUUGUAAAAUAAAAUUGACUGCUUUCAUUAGUAGGUUAGCGGCUGAAGCACAUGAGGUGAAGCUUAUCUGCAGCUGAUUAUAACUGAUUCCAGGCUGUUGAGAAGUAGAAACUAGUAAAUGGCAGUGACCCCUCUGGGGGCCACUCAGCUGCCUAGGUGUUUCCCUGGCAUAGGGGUGACCACCAAGUGUUUGCCAGAGUCUCUUCGGUGAUUUUUGCUCAGUAGGUGGGGUAGUCAUCGACCCAGAUAUUUAUUUUUAAUAUAACUUAUAGAGGACAUCAACAAGGAAACCUUAUUCUAGGACUGUACAAAUCUGUUAGUCAUUUGGAAGUAAUUAAGACCCAGUUCAUCACAUAAAAUUGCCAGAGAAGCUGGCCCCUGCCACAGUAAGGUUAUCUUCUCAUAUUACAUAUUAUGGCUCCGUUAUAUGUCAUGUGAAAAUUUCAGGGCAGGCCUAUCCAUCAGUGGCUUUUGCAAUUACAUUUUAAGAACUGCUUAACCUAGCAGCUUCCUUUUAAUCUUCCUUUUAAAUCUUUGAGGAUAUAAUCCUGAGACAAUGAGUGAACAGCUCCCCCAUCCAGUCUGGAUGGGUUAUAAAGGCUCCAUCAGUGAGCUGUUUUCCAACAGCUCAUCUGGGUGGUACUUUCAGUGAUAUACAAGUAGAAGACAUGCUUGACUAAGUCUGCUGGCCUGUUGACCUCUGACCUGUGCCCUAGCAAGGAUUUAAGUUGUUCAAAGAAAGAGGUGGGUCAACUAACCAAACCAGUCAAAAAGGUCAAAAUCUCAAGGUCAGAGGAGGGAUGCAUAAUUGCUAUCUCUGCAAUGGGUCUCCCUUGUCACCCAAGGGCAGCAGCAGCCUGGUACCUCCUGAAUAGUGUGUGCCAGCCUUCAGUUCUUUGAAAUUAUAAGAAAAUUCUCCUCCUCUAUGAUAUUCAUGCUGGGUUCAAGCAUUCUAACAAACUAAAUAUAUCUAGUAAACUCUGUGAGGAGAGUAGAUCAAUUUUGUUUCAGCUUUGGGGACCUUAGGUGUGGUGGAGCCAUAUCUCUGACAUGACUUUGUCAGAGUCCAUGGAAGAAGGACAUGGGAAUGACAAGAACAUGCUUGGACUCUGCAGCAUAGAGGGAAGGCGGGUUUCACUUAGCGCAGUGGCUUUGUCUGGGCUCCAAAGCUGAAGCAGCUGGGAGGGAGAGAGUUCCAGGUCAGGGGCUCAUGUGAGGGAGACAGACAGACAGUUCCAGGUCAGGGGCUCAUGUGAGGGAGACAGACAGUUCCAGAUCAAGGGCUCAGGCUGAGCAGGCAGGCGCCAGCUGGGAAAAGGUGGGGUUGAAAACGUGGCACAAGGAGGGCAUACCCCUCAAUCUCUUCUCUGUCAGGCCCUCCGCUCUAUUUCUAGCUAUAACAGCUAGCAUGAAAGCCUCCCCCUGGUCAGGAACAUUGUCCAUGGGAAGUCCAGAAACGCUGGACCCACGGCAUUCACCAGUGGUUUGUUUCUCAGGCUCAAGAAGAGGAAGGAAGGCAAGUAGUACAGUUGGUGGCAGAGGGAUUGUAAUAAGAUGAGUGGAGGAGAAGAGAAUCGCAAGGAGGCCCGAUACCUUACAGUGAUUUCCACGGAAGGUCAAAAGACAAGAAGGUUCUACAGCAGAUGGAUCAGAACAAGAAACUGGUGGAAACUUGAGAAUGGCAUGGUAUUAGAAGCUGUGUGUCUGCCCAUAGGCUCAUAUAGUUGAAUACCUAUUCCCAGUUACUCAAAUUGUUUGGAAAACACGGCUUCAUUGAAAGAGGUGUGUCACUGGGGACAGGCUUUCAGAAGAUUCCUGCUAUUCCCAAUGUACCUCUGUUUCCUACUUGCAACCAAGAUGUGAGCUCUCUGCACUUCAUACUGCCAUACCUUUGCUCUACCACAAUGGACUCUAAUUUUCUGAAACCAUGAGCCCAAUUAAAUACUCCCUAAGUUGCUUUGG